AGUGAACGCUGGCGGUAGGCCUAACACAUGCAAGUCGAACGGCAGCACAGUAAGAGCUUGCUCUUACGGGUGGCGAGUGGCGGACGGGUGAGGAAUACAUCGGAAUCUACUUUUUCGUGGGGGAUAACGUAGGGAAACUUACGCUAAUACCGCAUACGACCUACGGGUGAAAGCAGGGGAUCUUCGGACCUUGCGCGAUUGAAUGAGCCGAUGUCGGAUUAGCUAGUUGGCGGGGUAAAGGCCCACCAAGGCGACGAUCCGUAGCUGGUCUGAGAGGAUGAUCAGCCACACUGGGACUGAGACACGGUCGAGACUCCUACGGGAGGCAGCAGUGGGGUAUAUUGGACAAAUGGCGAAAGCCUGAUCCAGCGAUACCGCGUGAGUGAAGAAGGCCUUCGGGUUGUAAAGGCCUUUUGUUGGGAAGAAAAAGCAGCUGGUUAAUACCCCGCUGUUCUGACGGUACCCGGAGAAUAAGCUCCGGCUAACUUCGUG
rnacentral:rRNA from 1 species